rnacentral:rRNA from 1 species
UACGAAGGGUGCAAGCGUUAAUCGGAAUUACUGGGCGUAAAGGGCGCGUAGGCGGUUCGUUAAGUCUGUCGUGAAAUCCCCGGGCUCAACCUGGGAAUGGCGAUGGAUACUGGCGAGCUAGAGUGUGUCAGAGGAUGGUGGAAUUCCCGGUGUAGCGGUGAAAUGCGUAGAGAUCGGGAGGAACAUCAGUGGCGAAGGCGGCCAUCUGGGACAAGACUGACGCUGAAGCACGAAAGCGUGGGGAGCAAACAGG